AUAGCUCAGGUUCCUGAAUAACACAGUGUCGCUCUCAACUAAGAGAAACUGCCUUUCCCGUGAACUGUUAACUGCACAGGCUUGUCUGAUGCAAUCGGUAAUAUUAAAACUAGACGACGUGUGAGUGGGACGGCUGUUUUGCAGUCAACUUCAGGCGAGUCGACACGACCAUGAGCACCGGAGACAUCUACACGUCAGAGAAGAGGGGGGACGACAAAGGAGGGGAUGGUACAAAGGAGACGCCCUUCAAGACAGUUCUCCAGGCUAUGCGCCAUGUCGGAGGAGAGCCGUUCCCCACGAUACACGUGGACGCGCGAGACGAGACGAGAUCGACUGAGGCUUAUGACGUCAUUUCCAAGUCUCAGUACAAAAAGUGUUUGAAACUUUGGCAGAAGGAGCAAAGCAGCGCAGAAAGGAGAUCGACCAAAGAGGCGGAGGACGCAUUGCGGACGGAGAGGAACCUGGCAGAAGCCAGAAAGGUGACAAUAAAAUUGGAUGCCAGUCUUCCAAAGCCGAAACAAAUACGGAUAAGGGAGGCUACUCAAAACCGCAAUAAAAGGGUCAAGGUUCAAGGAUGGGUACAUCGCUUGAGAAGGCAAGGAAAGAACUUGAUGUUUGUGGUGUUGCGGGAUGGAAGUGGGUUCUUGCAGUGCGUGCUACAUGACGUACAGUGUCAGACCUACGAGGCAUUGACUUUGGCGACAGAGGCUACCGUUGCUGUGUACGGCGUCAUCAAAGAGUUGCCACCUGGAAAGACUGCACCUGACAGCCAUGAACUGGAUGCAGACUAUUGGGAGCUGAUUGGAACAUCCCCGGCAGGGGGCGCUGACAACCUACUGAAUGAGGAGGCCCACGUGGACGUACAGCUGGACAACAGGCAUAUGAUGCUGAGGGGGGAAAACACGUCUCGGGUGAUGAAGAUGCGCUCUAUCAUCAUGCAGUGUUUCAGGGACCACUACCAAGAUCGGGGCUACUUUGAGGUGACUCCCCCGACCCUGGUACAGACGCAGGUGGAAGGAGGGUCGACGCUUUUCAAGAUCCCCUACUUCGGGGAGGAGGCUUACCUGACCCAGAGUUCCCAGUUAUACCUGGAGACAUGUCUGCCAUCUCUCGGGGACGUCUUCUGUAUCGCCCAGUCCUACAGGGCAGAGAACUCCAAGACAAGACGCCACCUAGCGGAAUACACACACAUAGAGGGUGAAUGUUCCUUUAUCGACUUCGAUGGCUUGCUUGACCGACUGGAAGACUUGGUGUGCGAUGUCGUGGACAGAGUGAUGAAGGGCCCUCACGGUCAGAUUGUAUACGAACUGAACCCAGACUUCAAGCCGCCAAAGAAGCCAUUCCGGAGAAUGCAGUACACUGAGGCUCUGACGUACCUCAAGGAACACGACACCAAGAAGGAAGACGGCAGCUUCUAUGAGUUCGGAGAUGUACGUAACACACAUCAUUGCGUUCAUCUUCGUCUGAAAGCAAUCAGCAUAUUUCAAGAAAGGAUAUCCCAGAAGCACCCGAGAGGAAGAUGACUGACCAGAUUAACGAGCCCAUCUUCCUGUGUCGCUUCCCAGCUGAGAUAAAAUCCUUCUACAUGCUGCGAAGCCAGGGCGACCACAGACUCACAGACUCGGUUGACCUCCUGAUGCCCAAUGUAGGGGAGAUAAUCGGUGGGUCCAUGAGGAUAUCCGGUCAGGAUGAGCUGGAGGCUGGGUUCAAGAGAGAGGGCAUUGACGUCACGCCCUACUACUGG
rnacentral:misc_RNA from 1 species